GCCGCGAUGGUGUAGUCGUAUCAUACACCGUUCGGGAAGCCUCAAUUCGAGUCAAUUCUGUGCUUCGGUGUGGUCCUGGGUUCAAUUCCCAGUCGCGGCC